CUAUAAUCUCCACAAUACUUACCUGUGUACUGACUUGACCACUGACCACCACAGAGAAGAUAGCCAGUGGAUACCAGUUGACCCCAACGUGAUGCUGCCUUACUACCAUAAGAAGUUUGACCGUAUACCGGCCACAUUUGAUCCCAAAGAUAUGUUGGCAACACAGAAAUUCAGCUCAAGACAGAGUCAGCCAAAGAAGAUGAAAAAGAAGAAAAAAUGAGUCAGAAGUUAUAAACAUAAAGAUCAUUUUGAAAUAUGGAAGACAGAUAUACCUAUUUUGUUACACUAAUUUUACGUCAUGUAGAGGUUAUUAUUACAUUUUCCUGUAAUACGAAAACUAAUAACACAGAAUGCGAUAGAAAGAAUGAUAAAAAGAUGGAUUUUGUUUAGUGCUUCUCGCAUUGGACAGGAGCUUAUGUUGCACGCGUAUUCAUCAUAAUCUGUGGGCAACUGUCACCCUGAGAUAGAGUACAGAGGAAUGUAAAAUAUUAAUAUAAAUUGCAGCAUGAUUUACUUAGCAUUGCUGAUUGUUGCAUGGUUUUGCUCAUUGUUACUGAUGGGUGGAACCCAGUGAUAGCUCAGAAAGCAUGUAGAAGAUUUUUGUUUGGGAUUAAUGAGCCUCCAAAGAAUCGGUCACACAACAGAAGAACACGAUGAUUAGCGUCUUGCGACUUGGGGAAUCUUUAUAAACGCGAAUAAAAUGUGAAGAAAAUGUUAGUUAUCAUUUA